rnacentral:rRNA from 1 species
GUAAUGCCGGAUGCUCCGACAUGACGCAUGUCGUGUCGGGAAAGAUUCAUCGGUAUGGGAUGGGGUCGCGUCCUAUCAGCUUGAUGGCGGGGUAACGGCCCACCAUGGCUUCGACGGGUAGCCGGCCUGAGAGGGCGACCGGCCACAUUGGGACUGAGAUACGGCCCAGACUCCUACGGGAGGCAGCAGUGGGGAAUAUUGCACAAUGGGCGCAAGCCUGAUGCAGCGACGCCGCGUGCGGGAUGACGGCCUUCGGGUUGUAAACCGCUUUUGACUGGGAGCAAGCCCUUCGGGGUGAGUGUACCUUUCGAAUAAGCACCGGCUAACUACGUGCCAGCAGCCGCGGUAAUACGUAGGGUGCAAGCGUUAUCCGGAAUUAUUGGGCGUAAAGGGCUCGUAGGCGGUUCGUCGCGUCCGGUGUGAAAGUCCAUCGCUUAACGGUGGAUCCGCGCCGGGUACGGGCGGGCUUGAGUGCGGUAGGGGAGACUGGAAUUCCCGGUGUAACGGUGGAAUGUGUAGAUAU